ACUCCUACGGGAGGCAGCAGUGGGGAAUUUUGGACAAUGGGGGCAACCCUGAUCCAGCCAUGCCGCGUGAGUGAAGAAGGCCUUCGGGUUGUAAAGCUCUUUCGGUGGGAACGAAACGGUUACAGCUAACACCUGUGACUAAUGACGGUACUCACAGAAGAAGCACCGGCUAACUACGUGCCAGCAGCCGCGGUAAUACGUAGGGUGCGAGCGUUAAUCGGAAUUACUGGGCGUAAAGCGUGCGCAGGCGGUUACUUAAGUCAGGUGUGAAAGCCCUGGGCUUAACCUAGGAAUUGCGCUUGAGACUGGGUAGCUUGGAGUGUGGCAGAGGGAGGUGGAAUUCCACGUGUAGCGGUGAAAUGCGUAGAGAUC
rnacentral:rRNA from 1 species